GAGUUUGAUCAUGGCUCAGAUUGAACGCUGGCGGCAUGCUUUACACAUGCAAGUCGGACGGCAGCACAAAGAAGCUUGCUUCUUGGGUGGCGAGUGGCGAACGGGUGAGUAACGCAUCGGAACGUACCGAGUAGUGGGGGAUAACUGUCCGAAAGGAUGGCUAAUACCGCAUACGCUUUGAGAAGGAAAGCGGGGGAUCUUCGGACCUCGCGCUAUUCGAGCGGCCGAUGUCUGAUUAGCUAGUUGGUGGGGUAAAGGCCUACCAAGGCGACGAUCAGUAGCGGGUCUGAGAGGAUGAUCCGCCACACUGGGACUGAGACACGGCCCAGACUCCUACGGGAGGCAGCAGUGGGGAAUUUUGGACAAUGGGCGCAAGCCUGAUCCAGCCAUGCCGCGUGUCUGAAGAAGGCCUUCGGGUNGUAAAGGACUUUUGUCAGGGAAGAAAAGCUUGAGGCUAAUACCCUUAAAGUGAUGA
rnacentral:rRNA from 1 species